CAGAUGCUCAAACUUACAGAAUCUAAACUAUAAAAUACAGACCUGAAUCGUUUUAUGUUGAAGUAUUAUUAUUGUUAAAUUAAGAUUGUGUUCCUGUUUUUCGAUAAAUAAACUAGAAAUAUGGUUGAGGUGCUCCAUCGGUUUAGUUCCCUGCUGGCUGAAGUUGUAUAUUUCUCUGUUGAGUUUUUAGAAAGUGAACAGAAAGUUUAGGAGCGCUUUAAUUAUUCAUACCUGGAAGAACUCACACCGUUAAAGCUGCAGUUAUCUGCUAAACUUGUGGCUGGAAUCACCUCAGAACAAGAAAACUUGCUGUUUAUUAAAUCCUGCGGCGCCCGACUUGUUUUUCUUUUAAUACAGUGACAGCAGAGAGAAAACAACACAAGGAGGGGAUGUAAAGGCAGAAAGCAGCUGUGAUCUGGAUGUAAACAGCUGCAGGACGGCGGCGUUGGUUGAUCCAGCGCUGGUUUCCUGGUGAGGCCGGAGGGUUCUGCUGGUCCCACGAGGCCCGGCGAGGCGUUGGAACCACAGAAGAAGAAGAAGAAGACCUCCAGCUCUGAUUGACAGCCUCUAAAAAACAAACACCUGUGAGCUAAAGGUAGAGGAAUAAUCCCACAGCGCUGAACGCUAAAACUUUGUCCAACAAGUGCUGCAGAAGUGGAUUAGAGAAACGAAGAGCCGUCCUGAUUGGAUGGAAUCAGGAGCCACGACUCUUUGAAUCCUUCCAACCAAUCAGAUGAAGCUCAGCAGCUCCAGGUGACGUCCAUUUGUUCGUUUGCACUAACGAGCAGCGAGGUGAACUCAGGUUUACUUUUCUGGACGCUGCUUCCUGAGGAGAGUUUUCAGUCUCCAGCAGAAGAAUCCCAGAAAAGGUCAGAGUUUUUUUAUUGGCAGCUGGUAUUUUCCUCCAAACGUCCCGUCGUGUUUCCACGAGGCGCCGCCGUGACACGAACACGAGCAGGAAGGCGUCGACGCUUCCUGCUGCCUGACAGACGACGCCGAGGGUUUAAAGGACAAAACAACAGCUGCAGAGAAAAAAGAUGAUUCUCCAGCUGUGGAGCCUCAGAUCAACACAGUCCAGCAGUUUCCCUGAAUUAAAUCAGCUUUUUUACAAUAAUAGAGCAGUCUCAUUCUGUACACACCCCAAACGUAUUCACAAUAAUAGGAAAAUGGCCUCAAAGGACAAAAAAAAAAAAAGUUUAAAAUUACUCAAAAAAUUUGUCAAAUGACCCAAAACGGGUCAGAAAAGACUCAUAAAUUCUCCAAAAUCACUCACAAUUUGUCCAAAAUGACACAAAACACAUAAAAAUUACCCAAAAUAUGUUCAAAAUGACAAAAAAUUUCCAAAAUUACUCACAAUUUGUCCAAAAUGACACAAAAGACAUAAAAAUAACAAAAAACAUGUUCAGAAUGACUUAAAAUGAAUUCAACUCAAUACACAAUAACUGAAACAGGACAACAAUUUGGCCAAAAUGACCCAAAAUUUGGUCAAAAUGACCCAAAACGUGUCAAAAAUUACCCAAAAUAUGUUCAAAAUGACAAAAAAAUGCUUAAAAUGACCAAGAAUAUGUCAUAAAUGACCCAAAACGUGUCAAAAAGACCCAUAAAUUUGUUUAAAAUUAUCAAAAAUUUGUCAUAAAUGGCCCAGAACUCAUAAAAAUGACCCAAAAUCUGUCCAAAAUGACCUAAAAUCAAUUCAACUCAAUACACAAUUACUGAAAAUUUUGUAAAAGGACAAAAAAUUGUUGAAAAUUACCAGAAAUUGUCCAAAAUGUCACAAAUAACUCACAUUUUGUCCAAAACUACAUAAAUAUUAUUCUCUAUUAACAGAUUCAUUCCAAUUUUCCCAACAUAAAUCAUGUUUUUUACAAUAACGCAUCAAAGUGACUUGGGGUCAUACAGAGAGAAUUAUCAUCCAGACUUCUAAAUAUGUUCAAGAGAAAACACCUGAAACAAACUCCAGGAGCAGCUAAAGAUCCUGGUGUUUCCUUCAGACGGUGGAGGAGACCAAACCUGGAGUUAAAGAGGCUGAAUUUUGGUCUUUAAAUGUUGCUCUGAAACUUCCGGAUUUUUGGCCAACAAGUUCAACAUUACAGCUUAAAGCUGUGUUUAUGACUUGAUUCUGUUGAUUUAUUUCAUAUACAGGACAGGAAAUGUCUUCUAAACUUUACUUUUGCCACCAAAUCGCUUGAAAAAUUCUCCAAAAAUGUUGAAUUCCUCCUAAAAACAAGCCCUAUGUUUUUGUUAAAGCCUGAUAUCUGAUUCAAGCUUCACUUGUCUGGACUUAAAAUAAUUAAAACCAGCAGCAGGUGAAGUACAAUAUCAAAUAUCUUCUUCUACAACCUAAACUUCUUCACAAUGAUUAUAAAUUUAGCCCAAAUAACAAAAACUGGUUCAAAAUUAUUUGAAAUCAGUUCAACUCAAUUUUCCAGUUCGUUGUUUAGUUCAGAAAAUGUCAGAAAAUGGUGCAAAAAUGUUGAUCAGAACUCCUAAAGUCCAAGAUAAGAAAUGUCUUAUUCUGUACACAACAACUGAAAAAUUUUGCAGAGGGACAAAUAUUUAUUUUAAAUGACCCAAAACAUGUAAAAAAAAAAAAAAAAACAACUUUUAACUGCCCGAAAUGUCUCCCAAUUGCCAUAAAAAAAUUUGAAAAUGUGUCUAAAAUGGUGACUUCGUCUAAAACAACUGAAAAUUCAUCAAAUGAUUGCUUGAAAAUAUUGGAAAUUAGUCCAAAAUGAGUCAGAAAUGUCCAAAAUCUGUCAAAAAUGACUUAAAAUUGUCCAAAUUAACAAUAAUGAAUUAUCAGACACUGAAACCGAAGAAAGUGCAGAAUUUUUUCAAUCCAGGCUCAUCUAGUGUCUCCAUAAAGUUCCUAUAAGUGUGUAUAUCUAUGGAUGGAUUCAUAUUUCUACUAAAAUACAGUCUUUGGUCGACAUUUCACCAACUUUUAACUUGAAUCUUGCUUGAAACUUCUCCAGAAUCGCUCAGAAUGUGUCCAAUAUAAGGAAAAAAGUUCCAAAAUGACCAAAAACAUGUCACCAAAUAUUUAAAAUAAGUGCGAAAAGACAAAGAUGGUCAAAAAUGACUCAGAGUUGUCCAAAAUGACUUGAACUUUGUCCAAAAGCCUUUGUCCAGAAUCACACAAAAUGAAAUAAAGAUGAUCUAAAGUCAUUCAAAUUUCUUCAGUGUGUCAAUAAUGAGUGCAAAACGUUCAACCAAAGUUGGUCUAGUGUCUACAUAAAGUUCCUGUAAGUGUCCAUCUAUGGAUGGAUCCAUAUUUCUACUAAAAUCCAGUCUUUGCAGCUGUUUCCAAAACUAAAACUCUGUCAUUUUUAUCCUCUGACUUCUUUCAGUCUGUUUUUAUUCCUGACAGCUGCUCUGAAACUCCGACAGAUGGACAGUUAAUGUUUUACAACCACUUUGUGUCUCCUAAUAAAGUUUGAGCUCCGGAGUGUAAAGAAUCCUUCUUUUUAUUUAUGCGGGACGUUUGUAUGAAUCAAACUUUCCCACUAGAACCGUUCUGAUCGAGUUAAAGAUCAAACUGAACACAAACCUCCACGAUGUGAUUCAUCAGCUGUUCUGGACGAAGAAACCUCUUCAGGAAAACGUCUUUAGGACAAGAUGAGGAAAAAGUUUGUGGAUUAGGUCCAUUUUUCUGUUAUUAACACACAGAAGUAAACACAUUCUGAUAUUUCUGAACCAAAAAGGUGCCAAACAUCCAGAUUAUUAGAAAAAUAAGAAGUCAAAGUGACUAAUAAUUCUAUGUUUUGACGAUAUAAUCUCUCUGCCCAUUUUUAUUUUAUUUCUUCAAUAUUUGCUUUGUUUGAAAUUUAUUCUGACAUUUUUAAUUCUAUUUUUUUUUCCUGACGGUCUCCUUGCAUGUUUGUACAACUGUCCUGUGUUUUAAUUUUAAAAAAUUAUAAAGACUUUGUGAAAAUGCAUCUAAAUGACAGUUUACCCCAAAAUAAAAAGCACAAAACUGUCUAAAAAAACAUCAAAUGUGGAAAAAGGAAGUUCUAAAUUCUUAAACCGUUUUCAAAGAUGCAAAAUAGAAACCAGCAGUAAUUUAAAGCAGCGUUCCAGUUUAUUAUUCAGUUAGUCUGAUGAAAGAUUCAUGAAAGGAGACGCAAAACAACCACAGAGAGACACAAAACAACAACAAAGAGACACAAAACAACCACAAAGAGACACAAAACAACCACAGAGAGACACAAAACAACAACAAAGAGACACAAAACAGCUACAAAGAGACAGUGGACAACCACAAAGAGACACAAAACAACCACAAAGAGCUGCAAAAAAACUACAGAGACAAAAAAAACCCCACAGAGAUGCAAAAGAAUCAGACAGUAAACAUUUAAAUAAAUCAGAAAUCUGUAGUUUUACAACUAAUAAGUUGUUUACAUGUUGUGAAUAUAAAAUUACCUGUUGUUUUGUCUUUAAAAACAACAUUUGUAUUUCAACAUUUCUCAUUAUUUUUAGUUUUUACAUGUAUUUUUUGGGACACUCUUACUGCCAUAUUGUCACUUUUUUAAGUCAUAACUCCGCUCAGCCUCUGUUUUUGUUGGCAAAAUGCAAGCAUUAUUACAAAAACAGUCCAGAAAACUUCCCCCUGGCCCUCAUAGUUUGUUCCUUCUUUUAUAUUUACUGUAUUUUCUUUAAAUUCUUUGGUUUUUCUGGCUCCGUGGACGCCGUCUGGCUCUGAAACAUCCCAUUUCUUUUGCUUUCUGUUUCCCAGUGACUGAUUUCCUGCUGACCUCCGACCUCUCCGCCUGCAGCCAUCACAGACAAACAGCCGGGCUGACUUAUGGCGGCGUGGCGGCUAUUCCUCACGCAGAGCAGCGCCGCCAGAAGCCCCGUCCGCCGGUGAACUUUGAUUUUGCCAUUUGGAGGGUGGAGGUGGCGCUGCGGAGCCGCCGGCUGUUUGCUGGUGGAACACGCUGUAAUUCAGCCGGGGGAAUAAUUGACCUGUCAGCGGGUCCGGGCCGCCGGUUCCCGUCACUCGGUCCGUCGCUGCAGAUUGAUAAACCCCGGUUCACCCUCGGAGACAUUUUACACACAACGUGACGGAGACGAAGCUGCCGCUGGAAGGAGGAAGGAGAGAUCAGAGCCUGAACUGGGCUUUGUUCGCUGCGGUCAGGUCGACCUCCGUCUGGGAUCAGAGUGAAGAUCCGCUGCACGAACACAAAUAAAACCCUGCAGCUGCUGCAAAGACUCAAACUGGACACGGUGAAAGCUCAGCGAGGAGGAUUUAGUGUCCAUAAGAGACACAAAAAAGAUACAAAGACACAAAACAACCACAAAGAGACACAAAACAUCCACACAGAGACACAAAACAACCACAAAGACACAAAACAUCCACAAAGAGACACAAAACAGCCACAAAGAGACACAAAACAGAUACAGACAAAAUUUUGCAGUUUUAACGCUGUUCUUUCCUAAAAUCGUGUUUAUUUAAUCAAAAAUAGGAGUAAACUGUGUAUUUUGCUGUAUUUCAUGAUAUUUUUAGAUAUGUUUUUAUAUAUUUUAUUUUUCAUUAAAUGAGUCAUAAUUUAGAUAUUUUAUGUUUUUUUUUACUUUUAAUAACCUAAAUUUUUGAUUUUGUGGUUUUAACACUGUGUUCAUUCCUAAAACCUUGUUUAUUUGAUUGGAAAUCAGAGUAAACCUGUGUGUUUUUCAGUAUUUCAUGCUGGUUAUUGUUCGUCCUACAGAACAAAUAUCUGCAGCAACCCUCUAAUCCUGCAGCUCGACCCGCUAACGCUCCUCCACGCAUGGCUGCAGCUCGCCAGGACGCCGUCGCUGCAGAUCUGGAUUAAAACCUCGUCCUUGUUCCGAGUUCGUCUUUGAGCGGGAAGCCGAAGCCGUCAGCUGGUGGAGGGAAGGAGGUCCACGCACACACAAACACAACACAACCAGCGGGAACACAGUAAGAACAUUAACCCACAAACUCAGCUGGAAACGGGUUCACAACAGAAGAGAAGGAUUAGAAAAAGUUCUUCACACAGAAGCAGCUGAGAGACACACGACAGCUACCAACCAGGUUUUAUUCUGGUUUUUCUUGUUCGUUUGCAGAACUUCAGCAUUAGUUGAUGCUCAUUUUCAGUUUCAUUUUCUGUCUCUGUUGGUUUUUUCAAUCUCAAAUCAAAAACAACUGCUACAGGACUUGAAAUACCCCAAAAGAGACAUAAACUGACAACAAAAUGAACUAAAGACACACAAAAUAACCACAACAUGAACUAGAAAGACCCAAAAUGACCAAAAAUGAACUAAAGACAUACAAAGACACAAAAUGACCACAAAUAGACACACAACACCCCAAAUAAACUAAAAAUACACCAAACUUUGACAAAAAGACACAAACUAAAGAGUCACAAAACUCCCACAAAACAGCCACGAGACACAAAAUGACCGCAAAGAGACACAAAACAACUACAAAUGCACAGUAAAACAACCAUAGUCAAUUCUCAAAAUGCCUCAAAAAGACACAAACUGACAACAAAAUUAACUAAAAAGACACAAAACAAACUAUAAAGAAACACAAAACAACCACAAAGAGACAGUAACUGACUACAAAGAGACACAAAACAACUUUUUAUUCUUUUAAAUUAGUUCUGAAUUGAGAUUUUUACUAAAAACCAACACUAAUAAUAGGGAGGUAUGAUGUAGAAUCAGUGGACCAGUCGUGUUUAGACUCCUUCUCCUCAUUAAAAGUUUGUGUUUUGUGCGUUUCCUCUGCAGCUAUCUGUUGGUUCCAGCAGCUUCCUGUAGCUCCGCCCCCCUCACCGUCAAAAUAGCGGCGUCUGGAGCUAAUCGAUGCUCAGACCGUGUGAUUUAUGGCGUUUGCUGAACUCAGCAGUGGGAGCUGCUGGGGGAUUCUCUCUCCUCAUAACGCUCGUAAUUGGAUCUCUGUAUGAGGCUUCCAAGAAGUUCUCAUCGGGGCUUUACCCACAAUGCUCGGCUCUCCCCUCAUAACCUACAUUACUAAUGGAGACAAAUGUUGCGUGGGAUCCUGGGAGGGUUCUCUAAUUGGAGGAGCAGAAAGGGAAGCGUUUUACCAGCAUCUCGGCUGUGUGGAUCCUGAAAAGCAGCAGAGGGUUAGCGUUAGCUUAGCUCCAACGGCCCUCCGACGCCACAUUAGACACCGCCGAGCUGCUGUCUGAACAACACAACGCUGGUGAAACGGAGCUUCACACGUCUGGUUUAGUGGUUCUGACACCUUAUCACCACAAAGGAACACAAAACGAACAGGACAAGACACAAAAUCACCACAAAGAGAUACAAAACGAACAGGACAAGACACAAAAUCACCACAAAGAGAUACAAAACGAACAGGACAAGACACAAAAUCACCACAAAGAGAUACAAAACGAACAGGACAAGACACAAAACCACCACAAAGAGAUACAAAACGAACAGGACAAGACACAAAACCACCACAAAGGAACACAAAACAGACAGGACAAGACACAAAACCACCACAAAGGAACACAAAACAGACAGGACAAGACACAAAACCACUACAAAGGAACACAAAAUCACCACAACAAGACAAAAAAAAUCACCACAAAAUGAACACGACAAGACUAAAAAUGACCUCAAAGAGACACAAACCGAACAGGACAAGACACAAAAUCACCACAAAGGAACACAAAACAGACAGGACAAGACACAAAAUCACCACAAAAUGAAUAGGGCAAGACUACCUCAAAGAGACAUAAAACCAUCACAAAGAGACACAAAAUGAAAAUGACAAGACAGAAAAUCAGCACAAAGUGACACAAAUCAACUGGAAUAGACAAAAAAUGGCAGCAAAGACUCGAAAAACAACAAAAGAUGCAAAACGUCCAAAGACACACACAAAACUGACUGGAAAGAGACACAAAAUUAGCAUAAAGAGACACACAACCACCAGAAAAUUAACUGAAGAAACACAAAAAGACCACAAAAUUACAGAAAAUGACCACAAAAUGAACAAGAAAGACUCAAAAUGACACAGAAGUACCACAAAAUGAGUAAGAAAGUCACAGAAUGACCAGAAACGGACACAAAACAACCACAAAAUGAACUAAAGAGACACAAAAUGACACAAAGGUACCACAAAAGGAAUAAGAAAGUCACAAAAUGACCAAAAAAGACACAAAACAACCACAAAACAAACUAAAUAGUCACUAAACUACCAGAAGACAAACAUAAAUCUUGCACCAGACUUUAUUUCAAAUGUUCAGGUUUUUAGACUUGAUUCGUUUCAUGUUUCCUUCAGGCCUCCAGAAGUUAAGCCGAAGAUCUCCGACCUCCUGAAUCCAAAGUCUUCCUCUGAAACCGUCCAGCUCAGCAGAAAGACGUCAAGCCGUCCAACAAUCCUGCAGAUCUGCAUGCAGAGGAGAAGAAGCCCUGCAGCAGAGCGUCAGCAGCAGAUUCAUCAAACAGAGAAGUCAAGCAUUAAAUAACGACAUAAACGGAGACGGGAGGAAGCUGCUGCACUGUUCAGCAAUUAUUACCUCAACUUUUACUGCCCCAGAUCUGACCUGAAACCAGCUAACGUCAGAAAACCCUCCACAGUCUGCAGAGACAGCUGGAGCCACUGCAGCCGAUCAGGUUUCAUCUUAACGUGUUCAAAUCUGUCUUUAGUAACAAACACAUGUUCAAAUCUGUGUUUAGUAACAAACACGCGUGUUCAAAUCUGUCUUUAGUUAAAAAAAAAGUGUUCAAAUCUGUCUUUAGUAACAAACACGCGUGUUCGAAUAAGACUAUAGUAACAAACGCGUGUUCGAAUAGGACUAUAGUAACAAAUAGGACUAUAAUAACAAACACAUGUUCAAAUCUGUCUUUAGUAAAAAAAACAUGUUCAAAUCUGUGUUUAGUAACAAACACGUGUUCAAAUCUGUCUUUAGUAAAAAAAAACGUGUUCAAAUCUAUCUUUAAUAACAAACACGUGUUCAAAUCUGUCUUUAGUAAAAAAAAAACGUGUUCAAAUCUGUCUUUAGUAAAAAAAACAUGUUCAAAUCUGUGUUUAGUAACAAACACGUGUUCAAAUCUGUCUUUAGUAAAAAAAAAAACGUGUUCAAAUCUAUCUUUAGUAACAAACACGUGUUCAAAUCUGUCUUUAGUAAAAAAAAACGUGUUCAAAUCUAUCUUUAGUAACAAACACAUGUUCAAAUCUGUGUUUAGUAACAAACACGCGUGUUCAAAUCUGUCUUUAGUAACAAACACGUGUUCAAAUCUGUCUUUAGUAAAAAAAAAACGUGUUCAAAUCUGUCUUUAGUAAAAAAAACAUGUUCAAAUCUGUCUUUAGUAAAAAAAAAACGUGUUCAAAUCUGUCUUUAGUAAAAAAAACAUGUUCAAAUCUGUCUUUAGUAACAAACACGUGUUCAAAUCUGUCUUUAGUAACAAACACGUGUUCAAAUCUGUCUUUAGUAACAAACACGUGUUCAAAUCUGUCUUUAGUAACAAACACGCGUGUUCGAAUAGGACUAUAGUAACAAAUAGGACUAUAAUAACAAACACAUGUUCAAAUCUGUCUUUAGUAAAAAAAACAUGUUCAAAUCUGUGUUUAGUAACAAACACGUGUUCAAAUCUGUCUUUAGUAAAAAAAAAAAACGUGUUCAAAUCUAUCUUUAGUAACAAACACGUGUUCAAAUCUGUCUUUAGUAAAAAAAACAUGUUCAAAUCUGUCUUUAGUAACAAACACGUGUUCAAAUCUGUCUUUAGUAACAAACACGCGUGUUCGAAUAGGACUAUAGUAACAAACACGCAUGUUCAAAGUGAAGGUCUCAGGAGCAAAGUGGUUGUUCAGCUGCUCCAUGUUCAGCUUCCAGGAGAGGCAAAGAGAACUGAAAAGACCACAACUGAACUUUUUGAUAGAAAUCAGUCAAACAUUUCACAACAAGGACACAAAAUAGUCCCAUUAGACGUAAAAUGACUGAUUAGACUCACAACCAGACUUCCUGGAUUCUAUCUGCAGACAUCAGAAGAAUGAGGAGAUUAUUUCCUAACCUCUGUGAUGACUUCACGUCUGGGGAGGAUUCUGAGCCUUUUGGAGCCGAUUUCACUUUGUUUACUGCUGAUUUUACAUCUUUUUGUGGUAAUUUUGAGUCUUUUAGUGGUGAUUUUGAGUCUUUUUGUGCGGAUUUUAUAUCUUUUGUGCUGAUUUUACAUGGUUUGUUGCUGAUUUUACAUCUUUUUGUGCUGAUUUUACAUGUUUUUUUCUGAUUUCAAGCAGCAGCCUCCUCGGUUUGUGUCCUCGAGCGCGUUGAUCUGCUAAACUCAGAUGGUAAUUAAGAGAAACGUCUAAAUCCUUGCUCUGGUUUCCGUCCUGCUCUUCCACCUCUCUGAUAUCUGUGUUGCCGUCACACUGGGAUAAUUCUACCUCUAAUGGAGGAAUUAGUCGGCCCUGAAAUGAGCUGCAGAGGAUCAGAGCUUCUGCAGCGACUCGUCUUUAAUGUCGCACUGCAGGAGCUUCUCAGAAUAAAGGACAGGAGACGCCAAACCAAACAUCCUGGUGCUGAGAGAAGCUGCAGAUUUCAGAUUUUAACCUUAAACCUUUUAGAUUCCAGCUAAUCUGCACCAGCACCAGCUUUCUGAGCGUCUUUCUGACCAACCGAUCGACUCUGGAGCCAAAUAUUCUGCUCAGGAAACCAGAAACAGUCAGGAAAGAGAGCAGAAAUGCAUCCUUUAUGGUUUUAUUUAAGAUUACAGAGUGUAACUGCCUUUCUUUAUCAAGCUAAACAUGUACAAAAUGUGGAAAAACAACUAUGAGAAGUUAAAUAUUGAUUUUAAAACAACCAAGAACAUAAAGUUCACCGUUUAACAGACCUGAUGUGGUUUAUGGCAGCCUGCUAAUUCAGCUACGGAAAAACUGAGUAACUGGUGAUUUUAUGUCUUUUUGUGGUGAUUUCAUGUCUUAGAGCGACAUUUUCUUGUCCUUUGAGGGGAUUUUAGAGCUUUUAGUGGGGAUUUCAUGUCUUUUUGUGAUGAUUUUGUUGUGGUUUCUCAUUUAUAUGGUGAUUUGAUUUCAGAGCUUUUAGUGGUGAUUUCAUCUCUUUCCCUGGUGAUUUUAGAGCUUUUAAUGGUGAUUUCAUGUCUUUUUCUGGUGAUUUUAUGUCUUAUAGCAUCGUUUUCUUGUCUUCUGUAGUGAUUUUAGGGCUUUCUGUAUUGAUUUAACAACUUUUAGAGAUGAUUUCAUGUCAUUUUGUGGCCAUUUUAGAGCUUUUUGUGGUGAUGUCAUGUCUUUUUAUGUUGAUAAAUCCUUUUGUGAUGAUUACGGAUCUCUUAUGGUAAUUUUAGACUUUUUUGUGGUGAUUUUGUUGUGAUUUCACAUCUUUAUAGUUAUUUUAGAUCUUUUGUGGUCAUUUUAUGUCUUUUGUAGUGAUUUCAGGUGUUUUGUGGUGCUUUUAGAUCUUUUUGUGGUAGUUUUAUAUAUUUUAUUGGUGUUUUCGUGUCUUUUGUGGUAAUUUCAGGUGUUUUGUGGCGCUUUUAGAUCUUUUUGCAUUGACUUCCCAUCUUUUCGAGGUCUGUUUAAAUGAAGUAAAUGCUGUUUGUUUGUCCUGUAAACCAGCAGCCAAACUUAAUAACUGCAAACCCUCCUAACCCUUUUAAAGGCGACAGUUAAACUUGAACUCUCUCCAGUGUUCUUAGAAAGCAUCAUAUGUGGAUGCAGACAUCUGCAGCAGGAAGCCGUGACGGUAGCGUGUUAUUUCCGUGUGCAGAUCUGCGGUCACCAAACAGAUUGUGAGCGUUGAGGAGCCGCUGGGAUAUUUGCUGAUUGAGAGCUUUAGACCUACAAAGGAAGUGUAAUUGAAAAGGCGAGUUUAGCCCGACAGCCUUUUGUCGUAUCUUUUUAAUUAAGUUUCUCUUUCUAAGGCUGCGAUCGGCGGGAGCGAUAGGAGCGGCGGCGGCGACACGCACCACAUUGCUGUUCAUUAAAACCCUCCAGAAUGUGGCGCUAAUUAAAAUUCAUCCAGAGGAGAGAGAAAAAACACACACUUCACAAAGAACCGCCGGCACAGACGUGUUAUUAGCAUGAACACGGAGAACAUGUGUGCUGCUGCAGAUAGAAAACUGUCACGUUAAACACACCAUACAUACAUCAUUAUAUGCUUUUAUAUAAAACAGGAACACAAAGCUGCUGACUGGAACAUAAAAAUCCACUCUUUUAAGGCCUGAAAACGAGGCUUCAAAGAGCUUCAGCAAAAAUAGGUUCUUUCAGGAACCGUUUUCAUGAUUUCAUGUGUUUAUCUUCUGAUCUCGCUUUGUUUUAGGUGAUUUAGUGGUGAUUUAACCUCUUAUUUAACCUCGUAUUGUGUAUUCUGUGAUGAUUUCCUGCCUUUUGUGGUGAUUUUCAGUCUAAUUUUCGAUUUUUUUGUCGAGAUUUGAGAUAUUUUCAUGGUGUUUCUGAAUCUUUAUAUGGUUUCAUAUCUUGAUUUUGUAUCUUUUCUUGGUGCCUUUAAGGCUUGGUGAUGAUUUUGCCUUUUUCUGUGAUGAUUUCUUGUCUUUUUAUGGUGAUUUUCAGUCUGAUUUACAGUUGUUUUGUAGAGAUUUUUGAUAUUUUCAAGGUGAUUUUGAGCCUCUGAUCAUUUUGUUUCUUUUGUGGUACUUUUACAUCUUGUGGUGAUUUUUUGAGCAGUUUCCAUCGGGUUGGACCAGUUCGAAGCUUUGAAAACGUGGGAGUGUUCACAGGAAGUCUGUUUCUCCUGGAUCUCAAUGGAAUAAUCCUGGAAAGUUGUUGAUGUAGAACUUUUGUCUUUAUGAAAGCAACACCAGAGACUGAUGAGAGAAAACAUCAAGCAGUCGAGGAUGUUUUCUGUUCACGUGAAGAAGAAUGCUGAAAUUAAACCUCAGAUCCAAACAUGAACAGAUAUUUGUCAACCCAUCGGAGGUUGGACCGACUUCCAAUCAGCCUGAAUAGACCCCGAAGCGACUGAGCGUCAUAGAAACAGUGAAUUGUCUGCAGGUGUAGCAGCUGAAUGUCGACAGCUCGACGCUCAGUUUGACAACAAGACGCCGGCGGCUAAAUAGCAGCAGUGGAGGAGCCUUUGAUAGCUGUGAAGAGAGAAGAUGGCGUCUGUACAAGAGCAGAAGUUCUUUGUCUUCAGUCGAAUGAAAAGAAGCUCUGAAGAGGAAGUCUUUGGUUCUUCAUCAUCGGCAAAGUCAGGCGGUACAAAGAGGCAUCAGAAACAGGAAGCGAGCAGCUGUUUGAGCGCCGUUCGUUUCCCGUAUGUCUUCACGUCUAAAGUGUUGUUGAGCUUCGUUCAGCUUCUCUGAAAACAGCCUUUUGUGUCUUUGUUGGUGACGUUGGAUAAGAGUUAAUGCUGGAGGCAGAAAAUAAGAACUAGAGUGGUUUUUCCUUUUUCUUUCUAAUGUCAAACACCAAAUGCAGCCAAACGCUAUUAUGGGAUGUGGAUCACUGCAGAGAGGAGUGUUGAUGAAAGUCUUUUGUUGAAUGCUUCCGGAAGCUGCAAUUUCUCUUAAUGAUCUGCACAAUUAUUCAAAAUGACUCAGAAUCUGUCAAAAAUAACUCCAAUUUUGAGCAAAAUGAGUCAAAAUUUGUUCAAAAUUACUCGUUUUGUCCAAAAUUACAAUUUUUUUUUAAUCCAAAAUGACUCAAAAUCUGUCCAAAAGGACAGAAAACCUUUCCAAAAUUUUAACAAAAUGACUUGGAAUCUGUCAAAAUAAGUCAAAAUUUGUCCAAAAUCAUCCUAAAUCUGUUCAAAAUGACUUGAAACUUGUUUAAAAUAUAUUUUUUAAAAACUGUCCAGAAACUGUUAAAAUCUUGUCCAAAACUACUCAAAUUUUGUCCAAAAUAACUCAAAAUGUGUGCAAAACAACUUUAAACUUUUCCAAAAUGACUCAAACUUUGUCCAAAAUUACUACAGUUUUGUUCAAAAUCUGUCCGAAAUGACUCAAAAUUUUUCCAUAAUUACUAAAUCUGUACAUAAAAUACAAAAAGUGUGUCUAAAAUGACUCAGAAUCUGUCAAAAAUGACUCGAAAUUUGUCCCAAAUGACUCAAAACUGGUCCAAAAGGACACAAAGCUUUUCCAAAAAUGACUGAAAAUUAGUUCCACAUUAUUUAAAACUCGUCCCAAAUGACUGAAAUGAGGGUUUUCCUCCAGUAGACGUUGGUUCAGCUUCUCUGAAAACAGCAUUUAGUGUCUUUGUUGGUGAGGCUCAGAGUUAAUGCUGGAGGAAGAAAAUAAACACCAGAGUAGUUUUCUUUUUAUUUUCUUUAAACACCAAAUGCAGUCAAACACUAUUUGAAGCCUUUUGUUCUGAAAGAUUCUGCUCCUUCCUGUCACUGUGGGUUUAAAGUUUAAAUUAAAACUUUUCUGCUAAUGAUCUCAA